rnacentral:snoRNA from 1 species
ACUCCAUGGUGUGGACAUUUCCGUUGCAUCCUUGAAUCUUUCCCGGGCAUCAUGAAGCGUUUCGUUGUCACGUUGCUUAAAACUAGUGAUGUCAGUUCUGAGCUU